AGAGUUUGAUCAUGGCUCAGAUUGAACGCUGGCGGCAUGCUUUACACAUGCAAGUCGAACGGUAACGCGGGGGCAACCCUGGCGACGAGUGGCGAACGGGUGAGUAAUACAUCGGAACAUGUCCUGGAGUGGGGGAUAGCUCGGCGAAAGCCGGAUUAAUACCGCAUACGCUCUGAGGAGGAAAGCGGGGGACCUUUCGGGGCCUCGCGCUGCAGGAGUGGCCGAUGUCGGAUUAGCUAGUUGGUGGGGUAAAGGCCCACCAAGGCGACGAUCCGUAGCUGGUCUGAGAGGAUGAUCAGCCACACUGGGACUGAGACACGGCCCAGACUCCUACGGGAGGCAGCAGUGGGGAAUUUUGGACAAUGGGGGCAACCCUGAUCCAGCCAUGCCGCGUGAGUGAAGAAGGCCUUCGGGUUGUAAAGCUCUUUCGGACGGAACGAAAUGGUUACGGUGAAUAUCCGUGACUGAUGACGGUACCGUAAUAAGAAGCACCGGCUAACUACGUGCCAGCAGCCGCGGUAAUACGUAGGGUGCGAGCGUUAAUCGGAAUUACUGGGCGUAAAGCGUGCGCAGGCGGUUCGCCAAGUCAGGUGUGAAAUCCCCGGGCUUAACCUGGGAAUUGCGCUUGAAACUAGCGGGCUUGAGUGUGGCAGAGGGGGGUGGAAUUCCACGUGUAGCAGUGAAAUGCGUAGAGAUGUGGAGGAACACCGAUGGCGAAGGCAGCCCCCUGGGUCAACACUGACGCUCAUGCACGAAAGCGUGGGGAGCAAACAGGAUUAGAUACCCUAGUAGUCC
rnacentral:rRNA from 1 species